rnacentral:misc_RNA from 1 species
AACAUCGCGCACCUGCGGGAACCUGCGGAGGGAUCAUUAAUGAUUGGUGGCUGUUGCUGACUAGUGUUUCUAGUAUGUGCACGCCACACCUUCAAUCCCACUUACACCUGUGCACCUUCUGUAAUAGAUCUAUGUAGAUACGGAGAUAUGAAAGUUUGCGCUCUCGUACUCUGUUGAAGCAGUCUACUACGUUUUUUUACACACACACAAUAGUCAUUGAAUGUAUUUUUUAUUCUUAUG